GAAAUAACUGAGCGCGGUGAAAGCCGCGCAUUCAUUCAAGCUGGUGAAGCCUGGAGGCUCAAUCGGGAUUCAGCAGCAGCGGCGGCAGCAGCAGCGCUGCCAGAAGAUAAAGGAGGGGAAAAGUGAGACAGAAAGACAGGAGGGAAUAGCAGGAAAGAAAAAUAAGAGGAGUUGCGCGCCGGAUUGGAGCAGUUAUUUCAUUCAACAACAACAAAACAUGCGAUGGAGGAUUUGUUUUACGCAUGAGAACUCCUCUGAACUAAGACCUCCAGCCUUUAUUCACAAUUCACCUGAACAUCAUCAAAUUUCGCGGAUACGUCGAGGGCACCGGACCUACCCAGGGGUGUAGCCGCGGUGCUUCUGGUGCGUCUUUUUGCGCUGGUGGAGACUGUGAGCGAGGGCGCGCGCGCGCGUGUGUGUGUUUGAGAGAGAAGUGGUGGUGGUGGAGGAUCAGCCGGAGUGGCCGAACAGCCUGAAGGAUGCUGGAGGGCAAUGCCUGCAGAAAGAGAGGAUGAGAUUUGUCGAAAGGCGCUGGAGCUGCUCUCCGACCUGUGCUCCAAGGGGGAGGUGCAGGACGACCACUGCCUGGAUUUCAUCUACUACUUCAGGGACCUGGCCAGACCGCGCUACACGGACUCAGAUGUAUCGGUGAGCCUGUUGUCCCUGCUGGUGACCACCUGUGGUCUGGCUUUGUUCAGCGUCUCUCUCUUUGUCUCAUGGAAGUUAUGCUGGGUGCCCCUGAGUGGCCGCUUCCUCCCAGAUGUCCUCAAGGGGGCGCACUUUCUGGGAGGGGACCAACAGCCCGUCCUCACAGAGGUGGACGGGGACGAAAGGGAGUACAGCGAGGAUGGCUGUGUGAAGGAGCCUUCAGGACCCCUCUCGGCUGUGGCUGUCCCAGAGUCAGGCCUAAAGAUAAGCCACACGUCUCCUGACAUCCCACUGGAGACCCAGACCAAGGUGGAGAAAAACCAGUUCCACACUCUGGCCAGGGACAGGGUCCAGAGACAGAUAACUGAGCCUACUUCGUCUGUACGGCACAACUCCAUCCGACGUCAGAUGAACUUGUCUAAUCCGGACUUCAACCCUGCUCAGUUCCAGCGCCAAGAGUCACUAUCUGGUUUGGGCCGAAUCAAACCAGAACUCUACAAGCAGCGAUCCGUGGACGCAGAAGAUGGCCGUCACCCCGACGGCUGUGGGCGUCUCCUCUUCGUCCUGAAGUUUGACUUUGACCUGGAGCAGCUGAUCGUGAAGAUCCACAAGGCCCAGGACCUUCCCGCCAAGGACUUCUCAGGGACUUCCGAUCCUUACGUCAAGAUCUACCUGCUGCCCGACCGCAAAACCAAACACCAGACCAAGGUGCACCGCAAGACACUCAACCCGGUGUUCGAUGAGGUGUUUCUCUUUCCUGUGGCGUACGCCGAGCUGUCGAGCCGCAAGCUGCAUUUCAGUGUCUACGACUUUGACAGGUUCUCUCGCCAUGACUUGAUUGGCCAAGUGGUGGUGGACAACUUCCUGGAUCUUGCUGACUUUCCACGGGAGACUAAACUGUGCCGGGACGUACAAUACGUGACCUCGGACAAUGUGGACCUAGGAGAGCUGAUGUUCUCAUUGUGCUAUCUCCCCACGGCUGGCAGGCUCACCAUCACCAUGAUCAAAGCCAGAAAUCUCAAAGCCAUGGACAUCACUGGAGCUUCAGAUCCGUAUGUGAAAGUGUCCCUGAUGUGUGAAGGCCGGAGGCUAAAGAAGAGGAAGACGUCAACCAAGCGUAACACUCUGAACCCUGUGUACAAUGAAGCCAUUGUGUUCGAUGUUCCUCCUGAGAACAUCGACCAGAUCAGCCUGCUCAUAGCUGUCAUGGACUAUGAUCGGGUCGGACAUAAUGAAGUGAUCGGGGUGUGCAGGGUGGGCAACGAGGCGGAGAGCCUGGGGCGAGACCACUGGAACGAGAUGCUGUCAUACCCACGGAAACCCAUUGCACACUGGCACCCACUCAUAGAGUGGGUCGGACAAGGAGCGGUGGGGAGUGGAAGCCAAGGAGGAUCCACCAAUUCCCUCAAGACACCACCAUCCCCAUGACCGCACACACCCACACACACACACACACACACACACACACACACACACGCACACACACAGCCUCAGGGUGGUGGAACGAUAGAUGUCCUGCAGAUAGUCGUAGUGAAAUGUUAAAAAAUAUAGUGUGGCUAACAAGCGACUGCAGUAGAAGCAUCAGCUAAAAGCUAUUACUCAAGCUGGCGUGUCAUUAGAUUGAAAAACUUUAGUUUGCUAAGACCGCUGUAAAAGCCAAUCCCCACUUCUUUCUUUCCUUCAUCACAACCAAAAAUCACUUUAACUACAUUCCAACUGAUCUACUACAGUGCUUUCAUUUGUCAUUUCUGAGCUGUUGCUGGCGGCAUUAACAGGUUGAGAUUAUCUAACAGAUCGAGCUUUUGUAACAAAUCUCAGUUUUGUGGACCAAAAAUCAUUCAUUUCUAGGCCGUGAUUGUGAUUCGUGUGAGUGAUGAGCUUUCUUAGAUGCAGUAAGAGUUAGACAGGUGCGGUUGCAGAUUUAGAAGUGACAGACAGGGCAUUCCUGUUCAGAUCCACAAUAUUUUAGCUCUCUUUUAACAUUUUGUUUCAUGCAGACAUGAACAAAGCCUUAGUUUUACCUUUACCUGCAACUUUCUCACAGAACACUUCCUGCAAAGAUGUAAAAUGAAGAGGAUUUGCUCCAAGAAUGUGUAAUCUGCCGCCAUCACUCCCGGUCUUUGCAGGUGUUCUCAUUUCCAGUCUCUCAGAUCCAGGUUUACCAGCAGCUGCGGCGCAAUCUGGCAGCAGCAAGCUUAUCAUCACGUAUUCUCCACGCAGUGUUCCCUUGUUCAAUGAUGGUAACCUGCUUUCCACAGUGACUCAUGAUAACUGAUGAACACAUCUUACUAACUGAAAAUAAGGACGUAUGCAUCCAAACUGCAAACCUCAAAGAUGUUUAGGCUAAAGUGGGUGCCAGUAUUGCAGACGGACAAGAAGAGUGCGGAAGAGGAAGUUAUCAAAGGGGGAAGAUAAGAGCUUUGUGGUUAGGGGCCCACAAAGAAAAGGGGGUAGAUUAAAAGCUGAUGUAUUGGGUCCAUUCGCAAUAACAAACAUUGAUGGAAAAAGUGCUGAUCUAAAAACACCAACAGGAAGCCACAUUGAAAGAAUUGACCAUCUAAAGAAAUAUGUGGAACCACAGCCAAGAAUGCCCGCCAAAUGGAUCACUCCUGCUUUCGCUCCUCCUCCAGCACUGCAGCCCAGCCCCUUGAGGUGUCUUAGGGUUCACCAAUCGCCUACUUUCACACAAAGUCCACAAUCAGACCCCUCGUAUUCCAGUCUCCAGUCAUGUAACGCAACCGGCUUUAAACCCUUCAGUCGCCUCAGAUGAAUGUACGGAUCAAUACAAUUUCAGUUUAGUGACGAUUUGGGUGUCCUUAUGGAAAUGGAUGGUUGCAUUUAAUUACAAAUGAGGCCUUGGUAAACAAUGCUGUCUUCUAAUUCUCAGCAAUAGCUGACCUCUGGUCAGGUAAACAGGAAGGUGUGCCAGUGAGCAAAGUUGGACCAUACAAGAUAUUUGCCACAGACCUGCAGAAUCUGGCCACCAGAGGGGAGCUAGAGAGUGAGGCAAAGGCGGUAACAGCUUGCAUUAAGUCUUUCCAUUUACACGCUUAGCAGUUUUUGAUGGCAAAAAAAUGUAAUGCAUUUCAAACCUGACACUGUCGGGUUUCAAAUGCAUUCAUUCAUACCAUCGUUGUGAAGUUACAAGAGAAAAACUUCAGAAAAAGUUGUAUCUCGAUGACUCCUUUAUAAUGGGUGCGAAGUGGCAAGGAUCAUUCAGAGGAUUAAAAAAAGUAACUCUUUUUUAAAAUCUGUUCAUACAUGAUUAAACAUUCAUUCAUUGUUUGUAAUUUUUCAGCUUGACCCAAUGGCCUACAAUGUCCUCAUAGGACAAAUGGUACUGGACAUUUACGUGCUCUAGCUUUUUUUUCUGUCAGUGUGUACCAUCGCAUUCAUUGAAGGGACUUUAAGGAAUGAAUUGCACUUGUCUGAUGUGUUGGAAAACGUGUUAGGACUAUGCAGAGCAUGUGGGAAUGCUUGCCAAAGUCCAGGGAGAAAUAAAGGGUCCAACAUGCAGUGUGUGGUUCCAUUGGAUUUGUAUUUGGAAACCACCAUAGGAGCAGGACUUCUAUUGUCCAGCAUGUACUCUAUAACAGACAACGGACGAGGACGUAUCUGGCUGAAGCUCUCCACCCCUGGCUGCUACCCCGGUCUCUGGGCCUUCAGUACUGUGUUGUGGGUAGAACAUUAUUGUAUGAAUAAAGAUUAUUCUGAUUUUGUAUUCUACUCUUCCUGUGGCUCAGUGUUAGCAAUUAUUUAGUGUGUUUUGACAGUAUUGAUUUUUUGUCACUAUUUAACAGUAUUUAUUUGUCAUGUGUUGCAGGGGGCUGUAAAGCGGUGUAUGGCUGUAGCCUGCAGAAAAAGACAUUGAGAAAUAUGUUCGGGUAUUUUCUAAGAUACAAAGUUGUUUUAGAUCAACCCCAAAAUAAUAAAUGUUACUAAUGUAACAAAAUAAUGUAAUGCUAGGGGCUGACAUAACGUAACAAUACGUAACUAGAAGCAAUUCAACCAUGUACGCUCGGUUGACACAGCAGUGGGCCAAAGAUAUGUGCUGAGAUCUUACUUUUCCAUAAGUGGCUGGGAAUACACGUUAAAGGAAUUCUGAUUGUAACCUCUCUGAUUGACUACAAAAGUCAGAUGUUAGUGGAUAAUUGAUAAAAGAUUUUUGUCAAGUGGGGAAAAGGGCUUUAUAGGAGAACAGCUAGAAUAUUUACAUUUUUUAUCGCAGGUGGUCAUGAUUGCUUCUACUGGAUUGGACGGCUGGACUGGGUGUUGCUCCAAUCACAAACUCCAGAGGUCCUGGCAACAAGUGGGAUGGGCUGUGUCUGGUUUGAACCAGGAUCAUGGAAAAGGAACCAGACAAGACAAAAAAAAAAGUCCCGCCCCCCGGUGUGUAAAGGCCUUGAUCGCUGUGAAUCCAAGGAGACUACAACUUCCAUUCUCUGCUGUAACCCGGCCUACAUUAGAACCUUUUAGAGUCACUCCAGAAGCUGUAUUCCUUCAGGAAGUUGAAUGUGUGCCAUUUUUGGGUGCAACCCAAGAGGAAUCGAAACAUUUUGGACUGAAAAGUUAUCCUGGAGGAAGGUUUACACAACCUGGCAGCCCAAAACACAACAAAAGCAUGAAGAGAACUCUGUUGUGAAGUUUGCAGAUGACGCCACCGUCAUUGGCCUGAUUACAAACGGCGAUGAGACUUCAUAGGAAAGAAAAACAAUCUUGCAGAUCGGUGCUUAGAGAACAUCCUGCUGCUCAACGUCAGUAAAACCAAGGAGCCGAUUGUCGAUUUUAGAAAAAAGGAGGCGAAGACACACAAGUGAACAGUUUUAAGUUCCUGGGAAUCAAUCAGCAUCGCAAACAACCUGUCAUGGUCCUCACAGAUCUCCAUCCUGGUGAAGAAAGCUCGUCAACUCUUUUACAGAGGCGCAAAUGUGCCUUCCUGGCUGGAAACAUUACAAACUGGCGUGGGAUGUGCACGGCUCAGGACAGGAGGGCGCUACAGCGGGGGAAUGCUUGUCUGUUGAAUGACACAGUCUGUGGAUGAAGAUGGAGAAGUGGCAGAGGUUCCACGUCUAUCCUGGUGAACGCCCCACAAUACUUCCUACAAUGCUUACCCAGAACAUCAGGGUCCUUCCAGAUGCGACACGCACAAGAUGGUAAAAUUAAAACAAUGACUAUGGCCAUAAUUCUUACACACACACACACACACACACACACAGUGGAUGUUGGUUUACAUGUUGAUAACAUUAAACUUUUUCUAAAUGCUAUAAUAUUGCUUGUUUUCCUUAUUCCUUUUAUCAUAAACUAUAAAAAACCUUGUUGCGGUACCCUCUUGGCACGUUGUUGCCCUGAGGCAACAAACCCAAAUCUGGCUGGGGGGAAUCAAUUGUUAAACGACUGAACUGUUCACUGCUUCAGGUGGUUUGAAAGGAAACUGAAUGUAUCAUGACAACUGUCACAAAGUGCAUGAUCCUCUGUUUGAUGCUGUCUCUGUAUGGGCUGAAACACGAUGCCCACAACCUAACUGCUGCAAAAACAUCAUUCAAUAUUGAUCAUUAGCAGAUAAAAAGCUAGUGUACUUCAUCUAGCAUCUAUUAUUCAUGGGCAUCCUUUACCCGUGAUAUGCGGGCUGACUUCACAACACUUAAUGUCUCAUUUUAUUGCACAGUUCACUUAAACAGGCGGACAAGAUUUCAGUGCAACAAGUUCACCACAGUAGAUGUGCAAGUUGAGCGAACAAAAUAGAACUCUGGUGUUCAGGGAAAGAGUACUAUGUCAUACUCAAGUAAAAGUACGGUUAAUGUAAAUACAUAUUACUAAAGUAAAAGUACUUGCAUACAAUUUUACCUUUUAUAAAAGUAGGUCAGUUAAAACACUGACCUACACUUAUCCCAUACAGCACUACACAACAAAAAUAAACAUUUUUGGUACAAUGCACACACAUUAAAUGUUCUUGAACAUGAAUGACAACAGAAUCUGAAAAUGCUAAAUGUUAUUAGCUUUGUAGUUCUUUCAUGACACGUUGAUAAAAUCUGAAAACAUUUAGCGUCAAACAAUACAUUUCCUGACUUCUAUACACUCAUAUUAAUGUACAAUUUUUGAUCGUUAUGUACAGAAAUAUUCCAAACAGAUUUACCCACACGGACAACAACUGACGUUCCACAGGUUAGUCACUCAAAAAAAAAAGGAUUUCACUUGAUGCUUCGCUCUUCACGUCCCGCUAGCUUUCUCUGGAGUAGAGUGCCCUCUAGUGGCUUUGGUGGCGACAGCAUUUGUCCCACUGUAUGUAAGUUGAUGUUGUACAAGUCUCUAUUUGGUCAUGUGACAAGACAAAGUAAUACACAAUAGCUUUCUUUUUGACCUCUCUACUUUUCCAAUGUAAUAGACUAUAAGUACAACAUGAGUAGUAAUUACUAGACAUAAUACUGUGCACUUGUGUCUUAACUGCCUUACACACACCUCACCGCUGGAUGAUCCACUUUACAAUGUCAACAUCUAACAUUUUAGCUAGAUUCCAGCCCUGACCCCUAACAAGUAGAUGCCCGUCCAUCAACGUUCAGAGGAAAAUUUUUAUUUUUAUUUUUUUUGAUGUAUCACAAAUACGUUUCAAAUGAGUCCACGAAGGUUUACGUUGGUUGGGAGGUCAGGGUGGUGGAUGGACCACAAACGCGGGGCUUUUAGUCAGGAGACUGUUGCUUGUGUCCCAUGUGAACAGAGUACUUUUGUUGCCUGAACAUAAUCAAAUACUUUUGUGCAGUCAUUUAAAGCCAAACCAGGAUGUUAUUUUACUAGACCCAACAACAUAGCGUCGUGUCCCGUUUUUUUUGUUUUUGUUCCUUAAUCACCCCUAUGAUGACUUCAUCACCAAUUUGCAUUGCUGUGCAUUUUGUGCCAACAUUUAAUUGUUACAGUACCACAACUGAAUUCAUUACUUCAACUCCUGUUAAAGUUACACCCAACAUGCCGUUGUGUCAUGAUCAUCUGUUUGCCUUUUGAUAGUUAAAGGGGGAAUCCACUGAUAUUACAUGUCAAAAUCAAUUUGCUAGUUAAUAGACACUUUACAUAUUCAUUUUUAAUUAUGUCUUGACAUUAUUGUACUGUUUAUUGCUAUUCACCAAUCGCCAAGUCAAAUUCCUUGUAUGUGGAAACUUACUCUGCAAUAAACCGUUUCUGAAUCGUUUCUGAUUCUGAAUGGGUGAAUAAAACUCAAAUUGUAAAAACUGCUGAAUAAUGGC